rnacentral:rRNA from 1 species
GACGAACGCUGGCGGCGUGCUUAACACAUGCAAGUCGAACGGAAAGGCCCUGCUUUUGUGGGGUGCUCGAGUGGCGAACGGGUGAGUAACACGUGAGUAACCUGCCCUUGACUUUGGGAUAACUUCAGGAAACUGGGGCUAAUACCGGAUAGGAGCUCCUGCUGCAUGGUGGGGGUUGGAAAGUUUCGGCGGUUGGGGAUGGACUCGCGGCUUAUCAGCUUGUUGGUGGGGUAGUGGCUUACCAAGGCUUUGACGGGUAGCCGGCCUGAGAGGGUGACCGGCCACAUUGGGACUGAGAUACGGCCCAGACUCCUACGGUAGGCAGCAGUGGAGAAUAUUGCACAAUGGGCGGAAGCCUGAUGCAGCAACGCCGCGUGCGGGAUGACGGCCUUCGGGUUGUAAACCGCUUUCGCCUGUGACGAAGCGUGAGUGACGGUAAUGGGUAAAGAAGCACCGGCUAACUACGUG